GCCAGUGUGGUGUAGUGGUUUGAAUGUUGGACUAUGAUUCUUGAGAUUAGGGUUCAAAUCCCAGCUCAGCCA